UUGUGUUCAUAUUAUAGCAUAACUGGCUAACAUUAUCUGGUUGCAAUCUGUCUUAUCAAAUAGGAAGCAAAAGCAACAGAUAUGUAGGUCAAUGGCUGUCUCCUAAUAAAUUAGGCUCUGCUUGAUAGUACAUUAAAAAGAAGAGUAAGUGGAUUGCUAUUCCAAGGCCAAAGAUCUUAUCUUUGAAAGUAAGAAAUGGGUAAGAGUAAGAAGAUUUACAUUUCCGUGGUUGCCAAUAUCAUCUUCCUCAUCAUUUUGGUCAUGGUGGUGCCUCCAACUUCUGCUUAUCUACUUGCGAAACCUGAAAGUUGCAGAGAAAGUUGUCCAAGUCCAUCAAAACCAGGAGGACCAGGGACACGCAACUGAGAUGACUAUCGAGCUAUGAAGAUAACUCUAUGGAGUCCUUGCUGAAAAAUUUAUUCAGAUAAGGUCUAUAUAAAUUUAUAGUAUAAAUGCAUAUUGGAAUCCAUAUGAAAUUUAAUCCAUAUAAACUAGUUCUUAGUAAGAAUUUCUCCCUUAAAUAAUAUAUAUUAUCACAAUUUUUUUUUC